rnacentral:lncRNA from 1 species
CAAUAAGCAAUAGUGGAAGUUUGAGGUCGAGAUUUCACAAUCUUGUGUGGAAAGCAAAGGUGCCAAAAAAAAUCAAAGUGUUCUUAUAGCUAGCUCUCAAGAAUAAGCUAAACAAUGGUGAGUACUGCUAAGAAAGAUUUGAGAAUCUCUUCAGGCUGCUCACUUUGCAAAGUUCAGAAAGAAACAGUCUCCCACCUCUUCAUCAGGUGUCCUUUUGCCCAAGCAUGUUGGUCUCCAAUUCUUUCAUGCCUAAAUGCUCAAGGUAUGCCAUCAAAUUUUCAAGCCUUCUGAAAGAUUUAUUUGGCC